AGCAGCCGCGGUAAUUCCAGCUCCAAUAGCGUAUAUUAAAGUUGUUGCAGUUAAAAAGCUCGUAGUUGAAUUUCGGGAUCAAUAUGUCGGUCGUGCCUUCGGUACGUACUGGUAUCAUUGGUCUCUCCUUUCUGACGAACCAUGAUGUCAUUAAUUUGGUGUUAUGGGGAUUAGGACUGUUACUUUGAAAAAAUUGAGUGUUUAAAGCAGGCUCACGCUUGAAUACAUUAGCAUGGAAUAAUGAAAUAGGACGUUUGAUUCUAUUUUGUUGGUUUCUAGGAUCGACGUAAUGAUUAAUAGGGAUAGUUGGGGGCAUUAGUAUUCAAUUGUCAGAGGUGAAAUUCUGGAUUUAUUGAAGACUAACUACUGCGAAAGCAUUUGCCAAGGAUGUUUUCAUUAAUCAAGAACGAAAGUU
rnacentral:rRNA from 1 species